UUCAAGUACAUCCUGUCGCGCUUCUUCUGUACACAACGAAGGCCAAAACGAACAAGUCAGUCAACAUCACUUGCGAAGCUUUGUACGCAAGACGAACUCACAAACUCGAGAUGUUCGUGAAUGAUGAACGAGUAACUGCUGCAGAAAAACAUACUAUCUGUAAAAACAACAUGCAUACUUGUACAAGUACACUGUCGAUUCAAUUUUCCAAUUGGACAAGGUCUGAAAACACAAUUAACUGCACCUUUUUCGUAUUAGGAGGACAUUGUGGGCAAUUUGUUCAUGGAAGCUCGACUAUAAAGACCUUCACUGAUAUUGCAAGUACACUUGAAAUACAUCCGCCGUUGCCUGUCAAGACUUUAUCGUCGUGGUAUGAACUGGAUAUCGGGUGUUCUCUAAAUACUCAAGAAACACACGAUUGUACAUUCGAAUGGACAUCGGAUAUUGAAUAUUUUAACAAUUCAUCUCAUUCGCAUGACGCUUAUAAAGGAUCCAUAUUACAUGUGAAUGUCACAUCAAAUGCAUCUGGUCAUUGGGUCCGUUGCCACGCCGAUUGUAAAGCGCUAGAUAUGGUUCUAGAGCACGAUUACACUUUGGAGCUUCCAAUGAAGCCUUAUAUAACAAAAGAGCAUUUAAACACUUCAUGUGGUAAAAGCAAUGACGUUUGCUUUACAUGUUAUGCAAGAAGCAGUCCCGUAGGAAAUAUAUCGAUUACGCGGAAUGAAAAACUAUGUUGUUUGUACAAACAGCAGUGAGUGCGUGCUACAGAUCGAUAAGUAUAAUCUCCAGUAUACAGAUACAUUCGAAUGUGUGGUAUCAAACAUUUAUGGAGAGGACAAAAAAACUAUUGUAUUGCAAACACAUCUCAAGACAACUGACGAACCUGAAAGCAGCGAUUCCAUCCGGUUAUAUAUUAUUAUUGGUGUAGUUGCCACUGUUUUCCUGGCUGUGAAUAUUGUUGGUUGUAAAGCAAUUUACAAAAGAUUCGGAGAAAGAAAUAGUCAUGCAAUUAUACCGUCUGAGCAUAUCACAAUGCAAACCAUUCUAGAACCCGAACGAACUGCAGAAGCCUUGUCGCCAGGUGAAGACAACUAUGACGAAGUGGAAGAGACUUUGAUUUCAUCUGCCAAUAAUAGCUCGAGUAACGACAUAGGCAAUGGUUUAGGCCAAUCACGCAGACAAUAUGAAGUUCUUAUACGAUCCGGCGCAAACUCAGAGUCACCGUACUCUGGGCUGCAAUGACAAUCGAAUUGCAAGUCAGAAUUAAGAUAUAUAUGCUUAUGUGUAUGUAUACACAUAACAAGAACACUGGAAGAGCGGACAUUUAAACGUAGAUGCUUCCGUUGUACAUGCACUGAACAUGAACAAAUACAGUUAAAUCGUUUAAUUACUUUUUCCGAUAGGUUGGCAAAAGCAGGAGCAUAUUUUUUGCGCGAGUUGUUUAAGAUUUAAUUAAACAAGUAUGUGCUUUUUUUUUUUAAAGAUUUUGUAUUUCUAACGUUUGAAGGUAAUACAGUUAAACACAAGUUUGAUCAAAGCACAAAAUUGACAUUAUAUUGAUACACGAUGUGUUAUAAGCAUGUUACAAUUCUUACGUGGAAGACGCUUGUUUGAUGUCGUACGUACUAAAUGGUCAGCCAUCGGCGACAUGCUAUAGAACGAAAAGACUGUGAACGCUUUGUGGCAUGGAUGCCCUCAUUCAGACGGAGCUGCGCAUGGAUAAAAAAGAGUUUACCAUUUCACCGCAGCAAUCACAUAAGCAACCCUACAAAUGUGUCAUGUCUCAAUUUCGGUGAAGAUAUAUGUGUAUUUUUUUAUUAUUAUUAUACAUAUAAAAAACUUAUGAGACAUUCUCAUUUUAUUUUAGACAUUGGUGUUUACCUGCUGUAGACUUUAAUUAGUACCCUACCUACGUUCCUGGAGGGGGCCAAAUAUUUAGUCUCUUUAAGUCCGUAUUUCCGUAUUUUCUUCCGAUUCUAGAUCCCGAAAGAAAUAACUUAAAAGUACGUAAGCCAGGUAUUUUAUGGAUUAAUUGUCAUUUUUUGGGGGAAUAUGCAGGUGUUUUUUCUUAUCGAACAAGACGUUAUGGUUGCAUUUUUUUCGGAAAUAAUUAAAAUACUACAAGCUUGACCCUCAUAUUACUAGCACUACUCAAGCUAGGUUGAUGAAACUUCUUUGCGGAUAGAGUUAUAUAUGGAAAUACGUUCGAUUUUCCGUAAGAUUAAUGGGUAGUUUCUAUUUUCAAGAUGCUAUUCAUACAGAAAUUAUUGAAAAGUAAAAUCUCGAUUCUGCGAUAACGCAAAAUGUAAGUAAUUUUUGUUGAUAACACUUAUUCGAUAAUACUUGUGGAUACAAGGCAAUAUGUAAAAUAUGCAAUUUGCGUAAGAUUUUUUACUUUAAACAAAACAUGGAUUGCAAUGAUGGUUACAAAAAAAAUUAAAAACUAAAUAUAUAUCCUGCGAAAACUAAAAGUACCGGUACUUUAACUAUGUUGAUGGAACCGAGGUAGUUGAUAGAGGGCAAUAUGGAGAAUAUGCAAGUUAUUUCAGUUUGUGUGUUCGCCAUUCAGUGUGUCUGUCCGUCCUAAUUUGUAGAAGCUCCAGUAUAUGUAAAGACAGACGUAUGUUUAAUAUGCAAUUUAUUUUGUUUUUUUUGGUCAGACAAAUAAUGUGGUAAUUUGCUAACAAGAAUAAUUAAAAACUGAAACUAAAAUCGGAUCGGGAUCCUGCCGCCACUUAAAAUAUAUAUUGAUUGGCCGAUAUUUAUUUUGAUAGGUGAAUGGAACUCGAUAUGCGGGUUCAGGGUCACAUGCUUCGGCUUCAGAAAUAAUUGAAAGCUAAAAUAAGGAUCCUGCUAUAACUUUAACAUAUAGUAAGCUAGGUUGAUUUUACUCGGCUUUUUGGGUACAGGUAAACAUGAUAAUAGUGCGCGUUAUUAAAGUUUUUCGUUCGACCAAACCUGUAAUUGCUCUGAUUACAGCAAUAAUUGCAAACCAAUAUAUCUCCAUCAUGCCAUAUUUGAAAUUUAACUAAGAUAAGGUCAUAUAUGGAAAUUCUCAACAUAACGGUGGUCUUUUGUUUUGUCUGCGACAUAUAUCUUUUUUAGUAAGGCAAGUGGCCGAAUAAGAGUUAGUACAUUUAAGCCGCUUGGUGUAGUAUUUUCUAAUUGUCCGUGCUAGUGCAGUAUUUAAGAGUGUAUUAUUUGUGUAGAACCUUCUGCUCUGUGAACAAUCGACAAUCAAGACCCCAUUUGAAAAGUAGACUUGUUUUUACUAAUCGCGAUGUAUCGCAGUUUUUAUCCAUUAUAUCAUCAUUUUGUUAACGCAUGUCAGUAUGUUGUAACUUUAAAGAAAAUAAAACGUUUGAAGUGUG